UACGUAGGGGGCGAGCGUUGUCCGGAUUUAUUGGGCGUAAAGCGCGCGCAGGCGGUUCAUUAAGUCUGGUGUGAAAGCUCCCGGCUCACCUGGGAGAGGGCACUGGAGACUGGUGGACUGGAGGGCGGCAGAGGCCGGUGGAAUUCCCGGUGUAGUGGUGAAAUGCGUAGAGAUCGGGAGGAACACCAGUGGCGAAGGCGGCCGGCUGGGCCGUGCCUGACGCUGAGGCGCGAAAGCGUGGGUAGCAAACAGG
rnacentral:rRNA from 1 species